rnacentral:rRNA from 1 species
AUGGAGAGAGCGGCAGUGUCCAUCGCGGGCAAGGUCGGGCAGCUGCUAGUGGACGAGCUCCAGGACAUCCGCGGUGUCGGCGCCAAGGUCGUCCACCUGCGGGACGAGCUGGCGACCAUGAACGCCGCCCUCCGCAUCAUCUCUGAGGCGGAGCAGGACUCCGUCGACCACAUUGUCCGCGAGUGGGAGAAGCAGGUGCACGACCUCGCCUGCGAUGCCGAAGACUGCACCGACACCUACCUUCUCCGCCUCGUCCGCCCCACCCCAAACCCGCCAAACAACGUCACCGGCAAUCAGCUCAUCUUCUCCUGGACCGGAUACCUGCUUGCCCGCGCCAAGCGCAUUGCCAAGUAUCCAUAUGAGAAGCUUGUGCUGCAGCGCACACUCGCUGCUGACAUCAAGGACCUCCUGGCCCGUGCCACCAUCGUCAGCGAACGCCGCAUUCGCUACGGUAUUGACCGGACAGCGCUACCGAGAGCUGCCUGCUUCGCCCCUGUCUCGGCGGCGGCUGCAUCUGCGAGUGCCCUCCGUCCUACCGACGACCCUGAUCAGUUUGUCGGCAUCACAGAUACGGCAAAUGCCUUGGCCGACAAAAUCAAGGCGAUCAAGUCGCCGGUCAAGAUCAGGGUGCCAGUCAAUGAUGACGAUGAUGAUGACGCCGACGAGACCAUGGCUGCGGUCCAUGAUCAGGAUGACAAGAUCAAGGCGCCGGUCCAUGAGGGUCUAGAGGUGUUCUCCAUUGUGGGGUUUGGAGGGCUGGGGAAAACCACCUUGGCCAUGGACCUUUGUCGGCAGCUUGACGCGGACUUCCCGUUCCAGGCGUUGGUAUCUGUGUCUCAAAAUUUCAAUGCCGCCAAAGACAUGGAGAGACUGCUGGUACAAGUGCUCCAGCAGAUUCUCAGGGAGAAACCAAGUGAUGAGGAAACCAACCUGACGAGAGUUGAAGAGCUGUCCGAAAAGAUCAGGGAACUCCUAAAUCAGAAGAGGUGUCUCAUUGUGGUCGAUGAUGUAUGGAGCGUACCAGCCUGGGAAGCUAUCCGCAACAUAUUGCCAAGAAAGAAUUGCGGCAGCAAAAUCAUUGUGACAACUCGAAUAAAUACGGUGGCCAAGGCUGCAAGUUUCUCAGAGGACUUUGUCCAUCAUAUGGAGCCCCUGAAAGCAAAAGCCUCUGAGAAACUGUUUGUCAAAAAAGUGUUUGGCUCCACAGAGAAUGGUACAUGCCCGCCUGAAUUUAAAGAAACCAUGGACACUAUUUUGAAAAAAUGUGGUGGGUUGCCAUUGGCCAUCAUUAGCAUUGCCAGCCUUCUGCCAAGCUAUAGGUCAGCUGAGAGCAUAGAGAUGUGGCAAAGAGUUUCUAGAUCAAUUGGAUCUCAGAUGGAGAUCCACCCUACCCUCCAGGCGAUGAGGCAGUUGAUUACACUCAGCUAUGACUACCUCCCUCACCAUCUUAAGGCUUGCAUGAUGUAUCUGAGCAUUUUCCCGGAGGAUUAUGUGGUUACCAAGGAUAGGCUCCUACACAGAUGGAUUGCAGAAGGUUUGGUCACUGAGAAGCGGGGGUUGACUUUGUUGGAGGUUGCAGAAGAAUAUUUGAAUGAGCUGAUAAGUAGGAACAUGAUUCAACUAGGCAAGUGUGUGUCCACUGGAAAAUCAUUCUAUUCUAGGGAAGUGAAGGUUGUGGGGUGCCGGGUGCAUGACAUGAUCCUUGAGGUCAUGGUGUCCAAAUCCGAGGAGUCUAACUUUGUUAGCUUGGUAGGGCGGCAAUACAGAGGAAUGGCACAUGGAAAUGGCAAGGUUCGACGCCUCUCCAUCCAUGAUAAUGACAAUGAUGAGCAGCAUGAUGCAAGGCAUCGCAUUGAGGCGAUGAAGCUACAGCAUGUCCGGUCACUGACCACAUUUCCGUUCCAUGGCCUUGAGAAGCUACUGGAUCGUCUAGGCGAGUUCAAAUUGUUGAGGGUACUUGACCUGGAAGAUUGCAAAGCCCUGCGAAACAAGCACAUGAUAUAUGUCUGCAGACUGUAUCUUCUUAGGUUCUUGAGCUUGAGGGGAACAACAGUCUCUAAGAUGCCUCACAAACUUGGUAAUCUAGAGCACUUACAGACUCUUGAUGUAAAAGACACAUACAUGAAUAGGGGGCAGGGGAUGCCGCGAAGUGUGACAAAGCUAAGCAAACUAGAGAGCCUAAUGUCCGAUGGGUGGCUUUUGCCACGAGGGCUAAGGAACAUGAAGAUGCUGCGCGAGGUGGAUACGGGAAUACUUUGUGGCCGUGACGUUUCAUCGGUUGCCCGGGAGAUCGGUGAGCUACCACAGUUGCAGGUGCUAAGUAUGCUAAUUGCUGACUCCGCCGAUGGUGGGUGUUAUCCUGAGCUUGCCUCCUCCUUGAGCAAGACAAGCGCUCUCCGAUCGCUCAAUCUGAGUUGCGGAGGUGCUGAGGGAGAUGAGUGCAGUUUGGAGUUUCUCCAUGACGUCUCACCGCCGCCGCCACUCCUUCAUACCCUUGUUUUGUGUGGAAGCAUUAGCCAACUGCCCGACUGGAUGUCAUCACUAGCACACCUCACAAAUUUGGAAAUUGGAUAUACAGAACUUACUGGUGACAAAUUGUUUCGAGUCCUGUGUAAGUUGACCAAUCUGCAGAGAAUCCGACUGGUGGAAAUUGAGUGCAAAUACGGAAAAUUGGUUGCACGCCCUAAACACGACUUCCCAGUGCUGAGGUUUCUGGAGGUGGUCGAAUGUCCUAUCAUGCUCACAUUCCAGAAAGGAUCAAUGAAAAUGCUCGAGACACUAGUAUUGGACUUUGGUGACGAGAGGCUGAGGACUGUCGGUCUUCAGAACUUGGAGAACCUUAAAGAGGUCAAGCUCAAUGCUAAGAAAAGCAUCCCGUCAAUGAAAUGUGCAGUGAAGCAACUCAAGAGACACCCCAAGUCCAAUCAGAUGAGAGUAAUGGCCGACUAG